GAUUCUCCUGUAAUAAAAUCUGCAAUGAAGCCCUCCUAUUGCAACUUCAAGGAAAAUGGUGUUUCUGUUUUUGGUAGCAAGAAGAUUAAAUGUUACUUUAAAAGAACCUGUCUUUAAACCCCAUACUUACAGUGUUGAUAUUUUUCAGACCCCAACUGUAAACUUGAAGACAAGACUGAAGAUGGAGAGGCACUAGAUUGUAAGAAGAGGCCGGAAGACGGGGAGGAGUUGGAAGACGAAGCUGUGCACAGCUGUGACAGCUGCCUCCAGGUGUUUGAAUCGCUGAGUGAUAUCACAGAACACAAGAUUAAUCAAUGUCAACUGACAGAUGGAGUGGAUGUUGAAGAUGAUCCGACUUGCUCUUGGCCAGCUUCCUCACCUUCUAGCAAGGAUCAGACUUCCCCUA
rnacentral:sRNA from 1 species